CUGGAAGGAAGCAGCGGCAGCGGCAGGAGCGUCUGUCGCGUUGUUGUU
rnacentral:SRP_RNA from 17 species